CGAGUAUCUACAUCUUAAAUUCGAUGACACAAAUCUACAUAGAAGACCUAAAACCUACAGUCUCCUAGAACUAAGAAGCAAAUUCAACAAGAACCCAAGGAAAUCCAGAAGAACAAAAGCAAUUUUCGGCAACAAGAGCAAAGCAGGAGGCACCACAAUCCAUGAUUUCAAGUUUUAUUACAGAGCUACAGUGAUAAAAACAGCAUGAAACUGGCACAAAAACAGACUGUGUGGAUCAAUGGAAGAGAACAGAGCAUACAGAAACAACUCCAGGCACAUGCGGCUCUCUGAUCUUCAGCAAAGAGGCCAAAAAUAUUGCAAAGACUGGCAGCCAACAUGCAGAAUAAUGAAUCUAGACUCAUAUCCAUCACUCUGUACUAAAACCAAACCAAAAUAGAGCAAAGACUUGGAUAUAAAAACAGAAACAUUGAGUCUGGCAGAAGAUAAAACAGACAAAAGC
rnacentral:lncRNA from 1 species